CAGUGAUUAAGUCUGUAUGGGAAGGUUGAGGGAGGUGGCAUUUGAAUCCACAUUUAAAGGAUGAAUGGAAGUUUGUUGAGAGGACAGGAUGCAGAAGCAUUUUCCAGAGAGAGGGAAUAGCAUGGACAAAGACCUGAAGGCAUGAACAACACAGCGUGUUUGUAGUUUAGUUUAUCUAAAGCAAGGUGCAAGGUAGGAGCCGUGGAAUCAGAGCUAUGGAGCAUUACCAGGUGCUCUGCUGAAACCGGUAGGAUGAACACCUUCCGAACAGGCUGCAUUCCUCCCGAGGAAACUGAAGAGUGUAACCUCACAGUGAAAUUCCCCCCAAGUCUUUGGCUCUGCAGGAAGCUUCUGGCUAUUUUUCAGGAGAUGCGUUUGCUGCAGGAGGAGUUGGUACCAGUCUUCAGUUCUCAGCCUGUAGGCCCCUGACAUGGGGCACUACUCUGUACAGUUCCAGAAACCAACAACAGCCAUUUAGCAGGAGUGUUGAAACUGCAGAUUGUUCUCCACUGUUCUUCACUGUGGCUGUGUUUGGAACUACCAAAUACUAAUCCUCAGAACUUGGUCUUGGACCUGGUUAUAAAUCUCAUUCCUGCAACUCUGAACAGUGUGAUCUUGGGAGAGUUACUUAAUUUUUCUGAGUCUCAGUUUUUCUUAUCUAUAAAAUGAAGUUAGUAAUAGUAUGGACUUCAUAUAACGUAUGUGAUGAUUAAAUUACAGAGCACAUGUAAUGUGUGUAGCACAAUGCGUGGUACAUAACUAGGCCUCAACAAAUGGCCCAACAAUGUGUUGUUGGUCUAGGGUGGGAGACAGUAAUCUCCCUUUGACUGUCAUUAUCUUUUGACUGGGAAGAUUGGGUAGGCAACAAUGUUGCCUGUUUGCUGUACUUAGCUCUACUUUACUUUUUAUUUUUUUAUUUUUUUGAGACAGAGUCUCACUCUGUCACCCAGACUGGAGUGCAAUGGCACAAUCUUGGCUCACCACACCCUCCAUCUCCCAGAUUCAAGCAAUUCUCCUGCUUCAGCCUCUCAAGUUGCUGGGAUUACAGGCAUGUGCCACCAUGCCCAGCUAAUUUUUUGUAUUUUUAGUAGAGACAGCGUUUCACCAUGUUAGCCAAGCUGGUCUCAAACUCCUGACUUCAGGUGAUCCACCCACCUCAGCCUCCCAAAGUGCUGGGAUUACAGCUGUGAGCCACCGCACCCAGCCGUCUACUUCAUUCUUGCUUGGUUGUUUGCUUCCUGCUCUCACCAAAUUGUAAAGCUCACUGAGGACAUGAACUAAGAUUCUGUGGCCAACAGGGUCUUUCUAUAUAGUAGAUAGUCAAUAAAUAUUUGUAGAUGGAUGCAUGGAUAUUUUUUCAACUGACUAUUUGAAUAUGACUUCUGAUACAUAUGAGUAUCAGUACCCAGGGAAUACAUGAUCCAAGGCUGGGGAGACAUGGGCUUAAUAUUUACUAACAUUUUCCCUUACCUGCCACCUGCUUCUCUUGAGACAUUAAAUCCAAAGGCUAUAAAUCCUGCUGCUUUGCAUGGCUGGGUUAGAUUGCAUAUGAGAAUUUUGCAAAGCAAAAAAGAUACAUCACACCAACUGGCCUCUCAAUGUAUGCUCCCCUCAAAAGGCUUUCAAGCCAAAAAUCCCUAAGCAGUAAUUAUGUGCAAGGCAAAG
rnacentral:lncRNA from 10 species